GACGAACGCUGGCGGCGUGCUUAACACAUGCAAGUCGAACGGAAAGGCCCUGCUUUUGUGGGGUGCUCGAGUGGCGAACGGGUGAGUAACACGUGAGUAACCUGCCCUUGUCUUUGGGGUAACUUCAGGAAACUGGGGCUAAUACCGGAUAGGAUCUCCUGCUGCAUGGGGGGGGUUGGAAAGUUUCGGCGGUUGGGGCUGGACUCGAGGCUUAUCAGCUUGUUGGUGGGGUUGGGGUUGUCCAAGGGUUUGACGGGUAGCCGGCCUGAGAGGGUGACCGGCCACAUUGGGACUAAGAUACGGCCCAGAAGGGUACGGGAGGCAGUGGGGGGGAGUAUUGCGCAAUGGGGGGAAGCCUGAGGCAGCAACGCCGCGUGCGGGAUGACGGCCUUCGGGUUGUAAACCGCUUUCGCCUGUGACGAAGCGGGAGUGACGGUAAUGGGUAAAGAAGCACCGGCUAACUACGUG
rnacentral:rRNA from 1 species